CAUAAACGAAAAGCAACAACAAUGGUCCUCAAACUUGACUUCAAAAAGGCGUUUGAUUCCAUUUCCUAGCCUUCUCUACUCAAAAUUCUACGCCAUCGGGGUUUUCCAGAUCGCUUCUGUGCCUGGAUUGAGGACCUGCUCUCGACCGGUAAAACCGCAGUCAUGCUAAACGGCGUACCUGGUAGCUGGAUCCGGUGCAAAAAUGGUCUCCGACAGGGUGAUCCCAUCUCACCCUAUCUGUUCAUCAUCGUUGCCGAUGUGCUUCAACAGCUCAUC
rnacentral:rRNA from 1 species